UUUCCGUAGGUGAACCUGCGGAAGGAUCACUCAUAAUAAAGUGUUUUAUGGCACUUUUUAAAAAUCCAUAUCCACCUUGUGUGCGGUGUUAGAUCUCGUCAAUCUUGGCGAGAUUUUUAUACAUCAACUCAUUCUUUAACUAAUUUGUCUGAAAAAUAUUAUGAAUACUUAAUUCAAAAUACAACUUUCAACAACGGAUCUCUUGGCUCUC
rnacentral:misc_RNA from 1 species